GAUGAACGCUGGCGGCGUGCCUAAUACAUGCAAGUCGAACGAACAGACGAGGAGCUUGCUCCUCUGACGUUAGCGGCGGACGGGUGAGUAACACGUGGAUAACCUACCUAUAAGACUGGGAUAACUUCGGAAAACCGGCGCUAAUACCGGAUAAUAUAUUGAACCGCAUGGUUCAAUAGUGAAAGACGGUUUUGCUGUCACUUAUAGAUGGAUCCGCGCCGCAUUAGCUAGUUGGUAAGUUAACGGCUUACCAAGGCAACGAUGCGUAGCCGACCGGAGAGGGUGAUCGCCCACCCGGGAACUGAGCCACGGUCCUGACUCCUACGGGAGGCAGCAGUAGGGAAUCUUCCGCAAUGGGCGAAAGUCUGACGGAGCAACGCCGCGUGAGAGAUGAAGGUCUUCGGAUCGUAAAACUCUGUUUUUAGGGAAGAACAAAUGUGUAAGUAACUAUGCACGUCUUGACGGUACCUAAUCAGAAAGCCACGGCUAACUACGUG
rnacentral:rRNA from 1 species